rnacentral:rRNA from 1 species
AUGAACGCUAGCGGCAGGCCUAAUACAUGCAAGUCGAACGGGUGUAGCAAUACACUAGUGGCGCACGGGUGCGUAACGCGUAACCAACCUGCCCUGAACUGGGGGAUAGCCCGCCGAAAGGCGGAUUAAUACCGCAUAAACCAACAGUGUGGCAUCACAUAAUUGGUAAAGAUUUAUUGGUUCAGGAUGGGGUUGCGUAGCAUUAGCUAGUUGGCGGGGUAACGGCCCACCAAGGCGACGAUGCUUAGGGGACCUGAGAGGGUGAUCCCCCACACUGGCACUGAGAUACGGGCCAGACUCCUACGGGAGGCAGCAGUAGGGAAUAUUGGGCAAUGGGCGAGAGCCUGACCCAGCCAUGCCGCGUGCCGGAUGAAGGCCUUCUGGGUUGUAAACGGCUUUUCUCAGGGAAGAAAAAGACCAUGCGUGGUACACUGACGGUACCUGAGGAAUAAGCACCGGCUAACUCCGU